GUUGGUUUUGCUCUCUUUGGCUAUCAUUUUUUCAUUUUCAAGUUUAGCAAAUCUAAUCGCCUUUUUGCACGCAUUAUUGGCUUCCUUAUAUCUUUUAUAGGAUGCAUCUAAUUUGUCUGAUUUAAAUGCUUUAAAUGCCAUUUUCUUCUUUUUAAUCUCUUGUUUUACUUCUCUACUAAGCCACAUCGGUUUCAAUUUGUUUCUUUUAUAUUUUUUACCGAAUGGUACAUACUAAGAAAUGUACCUUUCUAAUAUUUGUUGCAAGAUGUUCCAUUUAUCCUCAGUGUUCUUUUCACUAAAGAGUUUAUGCCAGUCAAUAUAUUGUAAAGCUGCCCUUAACUUAUAGAAAUUGGCGUUUUUAAAAUGAUAUCUUUUAGUAUACCCCAUGUGCUUUUGUUUUCUUGAGUUCAUUUCAAAGGACUCUAUAUUGUGAUCACUAUUUCCCAAGUGCUCACCUACUUGAAUGUUGGUCAAAAGAUCAACGUUGUUUGCUUUAACCAGGUCCAGACAAGUGUCCUUUCUAGUUGGUGCUUGUACAAGUUGUGACAUGAAGGUGUCAUUUAACAAGUUCAAAAACCUAAUUCCCUUUGCUGAGCUACUAGUCCCUCUGUCCCAAUUUAUGUCCAGGUAAUUAAAAUCUUCAAAAAUAAAGUGUUACCCAGAUUUGCAGCUUUCUCAAAUUGCUCAAACAGCUGUUGUUCCUCAUCAAUAUUAACAUUAGGUGGUUUAUAACAUAUCCCAACCAAUAGUUGAUUUCCUUCCUUUUGCCCAUAAAGCUUCUACAUUUUCCUUAUCACAUUCCACUUGCUUAAGAUUUGGCUUUAACUCAUGGUUGACAUACAAACAUACCCCACCACACCUCUUGUUUUUCCUAUCCUUCCUAAACAACAUAUACCCAUUUAAGUUAACUGCCCAGACAUGUGUCUAAUCCCACCAUGUUUCAGUUAUGCCUAUUAUGUCAUUGUUUAGUGUAUGCUAUUGCCUCUAGUCCCCCAUUUUGUUAUUUAGGCUCCUUGCAUUAUUAAGCAUACAUUUAAUAUCAUGAGUCACUUGUACUUUUUGUGAAUUAUUAAC